rnacentral:lncRNA from 1 species
GAUGGGCAGACGAUAUCUAAAUUGGAUGAAAAUAGAGGAGGAAUCUAUCCAAGACAUAUGGUAUGGACUGGGAUGAUCUACAGGAGUUAAUCCUAAUCGCUUAACCAUGUCGGUGAAAAUACCGUUGAUACAGCUACCACUAUCAAUGAUCACCUUAUAAAUUUUAUCAUCAAAUUUUAUAAAGGUAUAGAAAAUAGAGGUCCUACAUCAGUCUUCACUUUUCUUAGUUUGUG